rnacentral:rRNA from 1 species
ACUGAACGCUGGCGGUAGGCCUAACACAUGCAAGUCGAACGCGAAAGUCCUUCGGGAUGAGUAGAGUGGCGGACGGGUGAGUAACGCGUAGGAAUCUAUCCUGUAGUGGGGGAUAACGUUUCGAAGGGAACGCUAAUACCGCAUACGCCCCAAGGGGGAAAGCGGGGGAUCUUCGGACCUCGUGCUAUAGGAGGAGCCUGCGUCGGAUUAGCUAGUGGGUGAGGUAAAGGCCCACCAAGGCGACGAUCCGUAGCUGGUCUGAGAGGAUGAUCUGCCACACCGGAACUGAGACACGGUCCGGACUCCUACGGGAGGCAGCAGUGGGGAAUAUUGCGCAAUGGGCGAAAGCCUGACGCAGCCAUACCGCGUGUGUGAAGAAGGCCUUCGGGUUGUAAAGCACUUUCAGUGGGGAGGAAAAGCUGGUGGCUAAUAUCCAUCGGCCGUGACGCUACCCACAGAAGAAGCACCGGCUAAUUCCGUGCCAGCCGCCGCUGUAA